rnacentral:rRNA from 1 species
AGUGAACGCUGGCGGUAGGCCUAACACAUGCAAGUCGAACGGCAGCACAGGAGAGCUUGCUCUCUGGGUGGCGAGUGGCGGACGGGUGAGGAAUACAUCGGAAUCUACUCUGUCGUGGGGGAUAACGUAGGGAAACUUACGCUAAUACCGCAUACGACCUACGGGUGAAAGCAGGGGAUCUUCGGACCUUGCGCGAUUGAAUGAGCCGAUGUCGGAUUAGCUAGUUGGCGGGGUAAAGGCCCACCGAGGCGACGAUCCGUAGCUGGUCUGAGAAGAUGAUCAGCCACACUGGAACUGAGACACGGUCCAGACUCCUAUGGGAGGGAGGAGUGGGGAAUAUUGGACAAUGGACGCAAGCCUGAUCCAGCCAUACCGCGUGGGUGAAGAAGGCCUUCGGGUUGUAAAGCCCUUUUGUUGGGAAAGAAAUCCAGCUGGCUAAUACCCGGUUGGGAUGACGGUACCCAAAGAAUAAGCACCGGCUAACUUCGUGCCAGCAGCCGCAGUAA